rnacentral:rRNA from 1 species
CAGUCGCCGCGGUAAAACGGAGGGGGCUAGCGUUGUUCGGAAUUACUGGGCGUAAAGCGCACGUAGGCGGCUUUGUAAGUUAGAGGUGAAAGCCCGGAGCUCAACUCCGGAAUUGCCUUUAAGACUGCAGAGCUAGCAGGUGAGAGAGGUGAGUGGAAUUCCGAGUGUAGAGGUGAAAUUCGUAGAUAUUCGGAAGAACACCAGUGGCGAAGGCGGCUCACUGGCUCAUUCUAGACGCUGAGGUGCGGAAGCGUGGGGAGCAAACAGGAUUAGAUACCCCUGUAGUCCCUGUCUCUUAUAC